rnacentral:rRNA from 1 species
GAUGAACGCUAGCGGGAGGCCUAACACAUGCAAGCCGAGCGGUAUUGUUUCUUCGGAAAUGAGAGAGCGGCGUACGGGUGCGGAACACGUGUGCAACCUGCCUUUAUCAGGGGGAUAGCCUUUCGAAAGGAAGAUUAAUACCCCAUAAUAUAUUGAAUGGCAUCAUUUGAUAUUGAAAACUCCGGUGGAUAGAGAUGGGCACGCGCAAGAUUAGAUAGUUGGUAGGGUAACGGCCUACCAAGUCAGUGAUCUUUAGGGGGCCUGAGAGGGUGAUCCCCCACACUGGUACUGAGACACGGACCAGACUCCUACGGGAGGCAGCAGUGAGGAAUAUUGGACAAUGGGUGAGAGCCUGAUCCAGCCAUCCCGCGUGAAGGACGACGGCCCUAUGGGUUGUAAACUUCUUUUGUAUAGGGAUAAACCUAGAUACGUGUAUCUAGCUGAAGGUACUAUACGAAUAAGCACCGGCUAACUCCGUGCCAGCAGCCGCCGUAA